rnacentral:lncRNA from 1 species
UGGCUGCGGCAAGGGCUGCAGCGAGGAGCUGUGGGGCGUUGGGGAGGAGAAAGGAAGAAGAGGAGAAGAAGAAAAGAAGAAGAAGAGGGAAAAGAAGAGAGGAGGAAGAAGAGGGAGAAGAGAAGAAUAGAAGAAGAAGAAAAAGAGAGGGAAGUGGGAGAGGAGCGAGAGGUGGCAGCAGUUAGGGCUGCAGCACCUCUGUUUCCUGCAGGUGGAAACAGAGGAGAGGUAUGGGGAGUUCGAAGAGGAGAAGAAGAAAAAGAGGAAGAGAAGAAAAAGAGGUUGUGAUACCUCUGUUUCCUGCAGAGGAAACAGUGGAGAGGGUGUGUGUGACGCCGGGGAGGAGGAGGGAAGAAGAAGAGGAGAAAAAGAGAAGGGAAAGGAGGAGCUGCGGUUGCGACGGUGCCAGCUGCAGCUGGAAGAGAAGGAGAAGAAGAGAAGGUGAGGAAGAAGAGAAGCAUAAGAAAGGAAGGAGAAGGAAGAAGGAGAAGAAGAGGGAAAAGAGAGGGAAG